rnacentral:rRNA from 1 species
CCUACGGGCGGCAGCAGUGAGGAAUAUUGGUCAAUGGACGCAAGUCUGAACCAGCCAUGCCGCGUGCAGGAAGACGGCUCUAUGAGUUGUAAACUGCUUUUGUACGAGGGUAAACGCAGAUACGCUUAUCUGUCUGAAAGUAUCGUACGAAUAAGGAUCGGCUACCUCCGUGCCAGCAGCCGCGGUAAUACGGAGGGUUCAAGCGUUAUCCGGAUUUAUUGGGUUUAAAGGGUGCGUAGGCGGUCGGAUAAGUUAGAGGUGAAAUCCCGGGGCUAAACUUCGGAAUUGCCUCUGAUACUGUUCGGCUAGAGAGUAGUAGCGGUAGGCGGAAUGUAUGGUGUAGCGGUGAAAUGCUUAGAGAUCAUACAGAACCCCGAUUGCGAAGGCAGCAUACCAGGCUACUUCUGACGUUGAGGCACGAAAGCGUGGGGAGCAAACAGGAUUAGAUACCCCAGUAGUC